GUUGAACUGAAGAGAAGAUAGAGCUUGUACAAUAAUAGGGCAAGCUCUAGAAGAUGUCCAGAAGAGUUCAAUUAAGCUUCAGAAGUGUUCUGAAGUAGUUAUCUUGUGAAGUUAAGUCUAGGAAAGACUUAGACUGAUCAUGUGAAGGCUUUGGAGGAGUUUGGGAGAAGAUGGCAGUAUGGUGUAAAGCUAGGGCAUUCAGUACGGCCAUGUACGGCCUAGGGCAAGCCAUGAAGAUGUCUGGUGCAAUCAAGAGGGAAGAUAGGGCAAUGUACAAAGAUAGGGCAAGUGGUACGGACAGGAGGUCCGUACCAACGACCGUACAGCCCACUCCUCUCGCCCAAGUCAUCCGGUUAAGCCCAAAUCAAGAUGUGCAAUGUGAGGGCGGUUUACUUUGAUCCAAUCCUUUCCUUAUGUCCGUUGGGGAGUCUUGGAGGCAAAGGAAGAAUCAAAUGGAUAAGGUGAGCUGUUGGUAUGAGCUGGAAAGGUAAAGGUGCUUUACCUUUACAGCCUUGACUCAUCUGAUCCAUCCAAUUCAAAUGAAGCAAUCUGAGCCCUCCAUUCAGUCCAACCACGACCAGCUAGCACCAGAACAUCAAAGACCAGCUUCCUCUCAUCCUAACCAUCCAUUUAUCUUUAAUUUACAGCCUUAGGAUCUAGUUUUAUGAUCUGAGUUGUGUAAAGGCAUAAAUAAGCCUCUUAGGAUCAUUUUGUAAC
rnacentral:lncRNA from 1 species